AGAGCGAACGCUGGCGGCAGGCCUAACACAUGCAAGUCGAGCGCCUGUAGCAAUACAGGAGCGGCAGACGGGAGAGUAACACGUGGGAACGUACCCUUCAGUUCGGAACAACCCAGGGAAACUUGGGCUAAUACCGAAUACGUCCGUAAGGAGAAAGAUUUAUCGCUGAAGGAUCGGCCCGCGUCUGAUUAGCUAGUUGGUGGGGUAAUGGCCCACCAAGGCGACGAUCAGUAGCUGGUCUGAGAGGAUGAUCAGCCUCACUGGGACUGAGACACGGCCCAGACUCCUACGGGAGGCAGCAGUGGGAAUAUUGGACAAUGGGCGCAAGCCUGAUCCAGCCAUGCCGCGUGGGUGAUGAAGGCCCUAGGGUUGUAAAGCCCUUUCGGCGGGAAGAUAAUGACGGUACCGCAGAAGAAGCCCGGCUAACUUCGUGCCAGCAGCCGC
rnacentral:rRNA from 1 species